rnacentral:lncRNA from 1 species
GGGCCGCCACCACAUGCUAAACUUUCUGGCCGCCCACCAGCACGUAAAGGUUUAAAUUUGGGCUAUUAUUCACUCGGUAGCCACCCGCCACCCACCUCAUCUAAUUCUGGCGGGCCGCCAGAUCGACUACCUGCAGACAAAAGUUCUUUGAACGCGAACAUGUGAUACCCACCCACCAUAGUUUUCCCCCUUUUCUCCUCUGAUAAACACCCGUAACCCCUCUCCUCCACUUUACACACACCGUACCUGUUACACCCUACUUCACCGACCGCCUCACCAUCUACCAUCACCCCUCUACCUCCCUCACAACCGCCGUUAAUCCUCCAUCAACCACCGCUCACCCUUCUCCUCUACAUCACACAGCCGCCAACCCCCCUUACAACCACCUCGCGCACAGCCGUCAACCCCUUUACCUCCCAUCCGCCGCCGGUAACCCAUCUCUCUCCUCGCCGCCGUACACAGCCGCCACUCCCCUACACACCUCCCUCCCUACCGUCGCUAACCCUCCCCACUGCCGAACACUUUUUCGUCUUCUACCUAGUUGCCCACCCGAUUACCCACCUACACCCCCUUUUCACCCACUGCUAACCACGGAAAACUAUCAUUUACUUUGGGGUUCAAGUUCAACCGAAAUUGUUUUAACUCUUCGUGUUUUUAGCGAAUCCAAGGUAUGUUUCCCUGCAAAAAUGUCACGUGCAGGAACUUCAAGUCGGGCCAACAGGAAACGAGGCUGAGACACUCGCUCAGGAAAGGGCCCAGUGGGACACAUGCGGGUGGUGAGGUGUUGGAUAAUGCGGAGUAGAAUGUGAGGAUGCAGCGAGGAUGACACCUUAUAACUUUUGUUUAUUUUUAUCUUUAUGCUGUUUUUAAUCCUCGUUUAUUGGUCUGUAUUAAUACGUUAAACAGGUUGGAUGGGUUUUGGGGUUGGUUGAUACACUUGUGGAUGGUUGCUGAACGUGAUAUAGUAUAUUAUCUUUUGCUAGUGUUUGGUGUUUGCGUGCUUAGGUUGGUAUUUGUAGCCGCUUUCGUUCGCGUGUCCGAGGUUAGAGUUGUUUGCUGAGCGCGUUUCGAAUUGGAGGGCUUAUGUGGAAACGACUGGCACUUUGACAGUCUCACAUACUCAGCUAAGUCGUUUCCCUUUUUGUUGUUGUAUUUUUUUUAUUUAUUUCGUUUCUAGUUUUGAUUUUUAGGUAGUUGUUGAGUCGUAUUCUCGUUCUUGCAUUAGGGACAAUGCAAUCUCUAAGUGUGGGGAUGGGAUACAUGUAAAUAUCGAGUCUAAAUUAUUAAAAAUACAAAAAAAAUUAAAAAAAUUUGAAAAAUCCAAAAAAAUUGAAAAAAUUAGAAA